AUAAUGCAAGAUUCAAAUGGUGUCAAAUUUGGGAUAAAAUUAAAGAGUAUUGAAAGAGCUACAACUUUUAAGAAGGAACCAAUUGCAUUUGAAGCUCAUAGCAAACGUUAUUCAAGGUGGAAAAAGUGGUCAUUUGACUUUUAACUUCGAAAAUUUUCAACUUUGUUUGAUUCUUCUAACUUCCACCUCAAAAUUCAUCAUUAUCCAAGCUCCA
rnacentral:lncRNA from 1 species